UACGGGGGGAGCAAGCGUUGUUCGGAUUUACUGGGCGUAAAGGGCGCGUAGGCGGCGUGACAAGUCACUUGUGAAAUCUCCGGGCUUAACCCGGAGCGGCCAAGUGAUACUGUCGUGCUAGAGUGCGGAAGGGGCUACUGGAAUUCUCGGUGUAGCGGUGAAAUGCGUAGAUAUCGAGGGGAACACCUGCGACGAAGGCGGGUAGCUGGGCCGACACUGACGCUGAGGCGCGAAAGCCAGGGGAGCGAACGGG
rnacentral:rRNA from 1 species